GCCUUUUUAGCUUAAGUUUAAAGUGUUAGUUUGAAGAGCUGAAGAUACCUCUGUGUAGUUGGCA
rnacentral:tRNA from 1 species